UACUUUUCCAGCACGAGGCUAAGAAGACUCCAAGCACGAAGUUAAGAGGUCUACUGGCACGAGGCUAAAGAUACAAAGGCGUUAAAAGCAUGACUACAAGGAGGUGUGAGAAGCGUGAACCCCCAGAGGCAUGAUUAGCUUGGCUGCCUGGAGGCGUGAUAAGCGUGAUUCAGCGGGAGAGUUCAAGUUGUACAAUUUACCUCCAAAGACCUUUAUGUAUAGCAUAUUCUAUGAAUGUAGUAGGUGAGAAAGGGUAUUCAUGGUAUGUAAAAUAGCCCCCGGGUCACUAUAAAAGGGGAGCACUAUCCUGUUGUAAAGGGAUGGAUAAUUUUUGGAACGAGACCACGUGUGCUUCUUCUACAUUAUUGUGUUCGAGUCUCCUUGAGAUUUGUUUCCUAACAUUUGCGCCCACCGUGUUCUCAACCACGAAGUAACCCAUGAUGCCACCCUAGAAGAAGAAGAGGACCACCAAGGACGCGAGAGAAUAGGAAAGGCAGCUCGUCCUAGUUGAGCAAGACAAUAAUGACAAGAUGGAAAAACUAAAAAGAGUCGAGGCCAACUUAAGAACAAGAAGCAAGAAAAAGAGAAUUGAAGCAGAGACCUCGAGCCAAGCACAACCACAAACAAACACACAAAAUGCUCCUCUCGGAGAAACAGACGAGGAACUAGCCUCAGCACUUAAGCAGCUAGAAACAUUGAAGAAGGAAAAAGAAAAAUUCGCUCAAGAACUCCAGGCGCAAAAAUUAGUAGCCAACAAUCUAGCAAUGUUGAACGAGGCUAAAUGACAACUAGCAGAGUUGCAACAAGAGCUGAAUGAGUUGCAAUACUUGCACAACACACCACAACCACCACUUCUGGGGUUGACCACCAAUGACACACCCACCAUACACCCAAAUCCCAGCUUCGUUGGACAUAAUACCCCGG
rnacentral:lncRNA from 1 species